rnacentral:rRNA from 1 species
GACGAACGCUGGCGGCGUGCUUAACACAUGCAAGUCGAACGGAAAGGCCCUGCUUUUGUGGGGUGCUCGAGUGGCGAACGGGUGAGUAACACGUGAGUAACCUGCCCUUGACUUUGGGAUAACUUCAGGAAACUGGGGCUAAUACCGGAUAGGAGCUCCUGCUGCAUGGUGGGGGUUGGAAAGUUUCGGCGGUUGGGGAUGGACUCGCGGCUUAUCGGCUUGUUGGUGGGGUAGUGGCUUACCCAGGCUUUGACGGGUAGCCGGCCUGAGAGGGUGACCGGCCACAUUGGGACUGCGAGACGGACCAGACUCCUACGGGAGGCAGCAGUGGGGAAUAUUGCACAAUGGGAGGAAGCCUGAUGCAGCAACGCCGCGUGCGGGAUGACGGCCUUCGGGUUGUAAACCGCUUUCGCCUGUGACGAAGCGGGAGUGACGGUAAUGGGUAAAGAAGCACCGGCUAACUACGUG